AACGAACGCUGGCGGCAGGCUUAACACAUGCAAGUCGAACGAGAUCUUCGGAUCUAGUGGCGCACGGGUGAGUAACGCGUGGGAAUCUACCUUGGAGUCUGGGAUAACAGUUGGAAACGACUGCUAAUACCGGAUACGCCCUUAGGGGGAAAGGUUUACUGCUCUGAGAUGAGCCCGCGUCCAAUUAGGUAGUUGGUGAGGUAAAGGCUCACCAAGCCGACGAUUGGUAGCUGGUCUGAGAGGAUGACCAGCCACACUGGGACUGAGACACGGCCCAGACUCCUACGGGAGGCAGCAGUGGGGAAUAUUGGACAAUGGGGGCAACCCUGAUCCAGCCAUGCCGCGUGAGUGAUGAAGGCCUUAGGGUUGUAAAGCUCUUUCGCCGGUGACGAUGAUGACGGUAACCGGAGAAGAAGUCCCGGCUAACUUCGUG
rnacentral:rRNA from 1 species